rnacentral:rRNA from 1 species
CAAUAGCGUAUAUUAAAGUUGUUGCAGUUAAAAAGCUCAUAGUUGAAUUUUUGCUUGCCGCCGAUGUCGGAACUUCCGUACGUUCGGCGGCGUGCAUCCUUGGGUGGAACCUGUGUGGCAUUAGGUUGUCGUGCAGGGGAUGCUCAUCGUUUACUGUGAAAAAAUUAGAGUGUUCAAAGCAGGCUUACGCCGUUGAAUAUAUUAGCAUGGAAUAAUAAGAUAGGACCUUGGUACUAUUUUGUUGGUUUGCGCACCGAGGUAAUGAUUAACAGGGACAGUUGGGGGUAUUCGUAUUCCAUUGUCAGAGGUGAAAUUCUUGGAUUUCUGGAAGACGAACUACUGCGAAAGCAUUUACCAAGGAUGUUUUCAUUAA